rnacentral:misc_RNA from 1 species
GGCAAUUGUCAAUAGAACUGUCGGAUCAUCUGGGACAAGAGAAGCACUUGGAAGAACCUUAUGACCUCUUGCAGCAUAAAAGUCAAGGAAGCGCUGACGUAUAGCAUCACCACUUGUCUGGGGAUCCCUUAACUUACCCUCUACAAGUUCCACAGCCACAGGUUGAGCUUUUGCGACAAACUGUAUUUCUCUUGGUCCCUUUAUUUUAGUGCGUCCAUUGGAUAAACUACUUGCAUAAAUUAAGGUCUGGGUCCUUACAAUCAAACCUGAAGAAUACCUAUAACCUUUGGAUGAAGGAAGAAAAGGUUUUGAUUGGAAGCAUGAAGUAGGAAAGAGGAGUAUAGAGUCCCUGCCAUGGCCAGUCUUAGGAAAGUUGAGGCUUGU